rnacentral:sRNA from 1 species
UUUCGCAACUGCUUGCCACUCGCCCCGUGCCCGGUUGUUUUUCCAUUUCCCGGCCCCCUCUUCUUGAGUACUUUACCCCCUGCAUUUGGGGACAGGGACUGGAAAAGGGGCGGGUGGAGCGUCCAGUGGAGAAGGAAGCGAGGCCCGCAGGAGGAGGAGGAUCGGCGGACCGUGGGGAGGAGACCCCACGCCACCCUUUCUGGUCAUCUCCCCUCCCGCCCCGCCCCUGCGCACACUCCCUCGCGGGCGAGCUACUUUCGGACCAGGAAAGUAAGGGCGGCCCUGGGUGACAGCGCCGCGGGGCCAGUCCCGGGGUUAGCCGCGCGUCUGCUCGCUUCUGGUCCGUCGCGCUCACAGCCAGGGCACAGCUCGGACCGAGGAUGGCUUCGACCACAACCUGCACCAGGUUCACGGACGAGUAUCAGCUUUUCGAGGAGCUUGGAAAGGGGGCAUUCUCAGUGGUGAGAAGAUGUAUGAAAAUUCCUACUGGACAAGAAUAUGCUGCCAAAAUUAUCAACACCAAAAAGCUUUCUGCUAGGGGUGGGUAUUUUCAACCACAUAUAUUGGUUAAUUUUGUAUUUGUCAUGUUGAUUAUAGGUUCUGUUGUAUGUAAAUAUAUCAUGUAGUUGUAACUGAAUUUUAGACUUAGGUAUCAUAUUACAUAUUGAGAUUAUUUUCUUCCUGAAUGCUUCUUGGUCUGUACAGCUUAAAAAUAAAUGGAAAGAUAUAAUUAUUAUUUGAUACA